rnacentral:misc_RNA from 1 species
GAUGAAGAACGCAGCGAAAUGCGAUAGGUAAUGUGAAUUGCAGAAUUCAGUGAAUCAUCGAAUCUUUGAACGCACAUUGCGCCCUUUGGUAUUCCUUAGGGCAUGCCUGUUCGAGCGUCACUACACACCUUAUCACAAUAUUUGUGGUCUUGGCAGGAGUGAAUUGCUGGUCUAUGGAAGUAUUCCAGCAGUACACAAUGCUAAAAAAUAUGGGAAGGUUACCAGAUAUGAACAACAGACUUUGUAAAUGGUUGUAGGACCUAGAUCAGUCACAAGUCAUGUCUUGUCCCUUACCUUAAGGACCCCCAUCCUAGAUGAACUAUUGGUUGACCUCGGAUCAGGUAGGAAUACCCGCUGAACUUAAGCAUAUCAAUAAGCGGAGGA